rnacentral:rRNA from 1 species
GAAUUUUGGACAAUGGNCGCAAGCCUGAUCCAGCAAUGCCGCGUGAGUGAAGAAGGCCUUCGGGUUGUAAAGCUCUUUUGUCAGGGAAGAAACGGUGAGGGCUAAUAUCUNUUGCUAAUGACGGUACCUGAAGAAUAAGCACCGGCUAACUACGUGCCAGCAGCCGCGGUAAUACGUAGGGUGCAAGCGUUAAUCGGAAUUACUGGGCGUAAAGCGUGCGCAGGCGGUUUUGUAAGUCUGAUGUGAAAUCCCCGGGCUCAACCUGGGAAUUGCAUUGGAGACUGCAAGGCUAGAAUCUGGCAGAGGGGGGUAGAAUUCCACGUGUAGCAGUGAAAUGCGUAGAUAUGUGGAGGAACACCGAUGGCGAAGGCAGCCCCCUGGGUCAAGAUUGACGCUCAUGCACGAAAGCGUGGGGAGCAAACAGGAUUAGAUACCCUGGUAGUCCACGCCCUAAACGAUGUCUACUAGUUGUCGGGUCUUAAUUGACUUGGUAACGCAGCUAACGCGUGAAGUAGACCGCCUGGGGAGUACGGUCGCAAGAUUAAAACUCAAAGGAAUUGACGGGGACCCGCACAACCGGNGGAUGAUGUGGGUUNAUUUCAUGCACCCGGAAAAACCUU